rnacentral:rRNA from 1 species
AGUGAACGCUGGCGGUAGGCCUAACACAUGCAAGUCGAACGGCAGCACAGUAAGAGCUUGCUCUUACGGGUGGCGAGUGGCGGACGGGUGAGGAAUACAUCGGAAUCUACUUUUUCGUGGGGGAUAACGUAGGGAAACUUACGCUAAUACCGCAUACGACCUACGGGUGAAAGCAGGGGAUCUUCGGACCUUGCGCGAUUGAAUGAGCCGAUGUCGGAUUAGCUAGUUGGCGGGGUAAAGGCCCACCAAGGCGACGAUCCGUAGCUGGUCUGAGAGGAUGAUCAGCCACACUGGAACUGAGACACGGUCCAGACUCCUACGGGAGGCAGCAGUGGGGAAUAGUGGACAAAGGGCGCAAGCCUGAUCCAGCCAUACCGCGUGGGUGAAGAAGGCCUUCGGGUUGUAAAGCCCUUUUGUUGGGAAAGAAAAGCAGCAGGUUAAUACCCCGCUGUUCUGACGGUACCCAAAGAAUAAGCACCGGCUAACUUCGUG